AACGAACGCUGGCGGCAUGCCUAACACAUGCAAGUCGAACGAGACCUUCGGGUCUAGUGGCGCACGGGUGCGUAACGCGUGGGAACCUGCCCUUAGGUUCGGAAUAACUCCCCGAAAGGGGUGCUAAUACCGGAUAAUGUCUUUGGACCAAAGAUUUAUCGCUUUUGGAUGGGCCCGCGUUGGAUUAGCUAGUUGGUAGGGUAAAAGCCUACCAAGGCGACGAUCCAUAGCUGGUCUGAGAGGAUGAUCAGCCACACUGGGACUGAGACACGGCCCAGACUCCUACGGGAGGCAGCAGUGGGGAAUAUUGGACAAUGGGCGAAAGCCUGAUCCAGCAAUGCCGCGUGAGUGAUGAAGGCCUUAGGGUUGUAAAGCUCUUUUACCCGGGAUGAUAAUGACAGUACCGGGAGAAUAAGCUCCGGCUAACUCCGUG
rnacentral:rRNA from 1 species